UGUGAAAUCCCGAGGCUCAACCUCGGGCUUGCAGUGGGUACGGGCAGACUAGAGUGCGGUAGGGGAGAUUGGAAUUCCUGGUGUAGCGGUGGAAUGCGCAGAUAUCAGGAGGAACACCGAUGGCGAAGGCAGAUCUCUGGGCCGUAACUGACGCUGAGGAGCGAAAGCGUGGGGAGCGAACAGGAUUAGAUACCCUGGUAGUCCACGCCGUAAACGUUGGGCGCUAGAUGUAGGGACCUUUCCACGGUUUCUGUGUCGUAGCUAACGCAUUAAGCGCCCCGCCUGGGGAGUACGGCCGCAAGGCUAAAACUCAAAGGAAUUGACGGGGGCCCGCACAAGCGGCGGAGCAUGCGGAUUAAUUCGAUGCAACGCGAAGAACCUUACCAAGGCUUGACAUACACCGGAAACGGCCAGAGAUGGUCGCCCCCUUGUGGUCGGUGUACAGGUGGCGCAUGGUUGUCGUCAGCUCGUGUCGUGAGAUGUUGGGUUAAGUCCCGCAACGAGCGCAACCCUCGUUCUAUGUUGCCAGCGCGUUAUGGCGGGGACUCAUAGGAGACUGCCGGGGUCAACUCGGAGGAAGGUGGGGAUGACGUCAAAUCAUCAUGCCCCUUAUGUCUUGGGCUUCACGCAUGCUACAAUGGCCGGUACAAAGGGCUGCGAUACCGUAAGGUGGAGCGAAUCCCAAAAAGCCGGUCUCAGUUCGGAUUGAGGUCUGCAACUCGACCUCAUGAAGUCGGAGUCGCUAGUAAUCGCAGAUCAGCAA
rnacentral:rRNA from 1 species